UACGUAGGGUGCAAGCGUUGUCCGGAAUUAUUGGGCGUAAAGAGCUCGUAGGCGGUCUGUCGCGUCUGCUGUGAAACUCAGGGCUUAACCCUGAGCUUGCAGUGGGUACGGGCAGACUAGAGUGCGGUAGGGGAGACUGGAAUUCCUGGUGUAGCGGUGAAAUGCGCAGAUAUCAGGAGGAACACCAAUGGCGGAAGGCAGCUCUCUGGGA
rnacentral:rRNA from 1 species